rnacentral:rRNA from 1 species
GAUGAACGCUAGCUACAGGCUUAACACAUGCAAGUCGAGGGGAAACGACAUUGAAGCUUGCUUCGAUGGUCGUCGACCGGCGCACGGGUGAGUAACGCGUAUCCAACCUGCCUCUGACCAAGGGAUAACCCGUCGAAAGUCGGCCUAAUACCUUAUGCAGUCGUCGGAAGUCAUCUGAUGACGACGAAAGAUUUCAUCGGUGAGAGAUGGGGAUGCGUCUGAUUAGCUUGUUGGCGGGGUAACGGCCCACCAAGGCAACGAUCAGUAGGGGUUCUGAGAGGAAGGUCCCCCACAGUGGAACUGAGACACGGUCCAAACUCCUACGGGAGGCAGCAGUGAGGAAUAUUGGUCAAUGGGCGAGAGCCUGAACCAGCCAAGUAGCGUGCAGGAUGACGGCCCUAUGGGUUGUAAACUGCUUUUAUGCGGGGAUAAAGUGAGGGACGUGUCCUUCAUUGCAGGUACCGCAUGAAUAAGGACCGGCUAAUUCCGUG